rnacentral:rRNA from 1 species
CCUACGGGAGGCAGCAGUGGGGAAUAUUGCACAAUGGGCGAAAGCCUGAUGCAGCAACGCCGCGUGAGGGACGACGGCCUUCGGGUUGUAAACCUCUUUUAGCAGGAAAGAAGCGAAAGUGACGGUACCUGCAGAAAAAGCGCCGGCUAACUACGUGCCAGCAGCCGCGGUAAUACGUAGGGCGCAAGCGUUAUCCGGAAUUAUUGGGCGUAAAGAGCUCGUAGGCGGUCUGUCGCGUCUGCUGUGAAAACCCGAGGCUCAACCUCGGGCCUGCAGUGGGUACGGGCAGACUAGAGUGCGGUAGGGGAGAUUGGAAUUCCUGGUGUAGCGGUGGAAUGCGCAGAUAUCAGGAGGAACACCGAUGGCGAAGGCAGAUCUCUGGGCCGUAACUGACGCUGAGGAGCGAAAGGGUGGGGAGCAAACAGGCUUAGAUACCCUGGUAGUCCACCCCGUAAACGUUGGGAACUAGUUGUGGGGUCCAUUCCACGGAUUCCGUGACGCAGCUAACGCAUUAAGUCCCCGCCGGGAGACGGCUCAGCAU